GACGAACGCUGGCGGCGUGCUUAACACAUGCAAGUCGAGCGGUAAGGCCUUUCGGGGUACACGAGCGGCGAACGGGUGAGUAACACGUGGGUGAUCUGCCCUGCACUUCGGGAUAAGCCUGGGAAACUGGGUCUAAUACCGGAUAUGACUCCUAUCGCAUGGUGGGUGGUGGAAAGAUUUAUCGGUGCAGGAUGGGCCCGCGGCCUAUCAGCUUGUUGGUGGGGUAAUGGCCUACCAAGGCGACGACGGGUAGCCGACCUGAGAGGGUGACCGGCCACACUGGGACUGAGACACGGCCCAGACUCCUACGGGAGGCAGCAGUGGGGAAUAUUGCACAAUGGGCGAAAGCCUGAUGCAGCGACGCCGCGUGAGGGAUGACGGCCUUCGGGUUGUAAACCUCUUUCAGCAGGGACGAAGCGCAAGUGACGGUACCUGCAGAAGAAGCACCGGCUAACUACGUG
rnacentral:rRNA from 1 species